rnacentral:rRNA from 1 species
GAUGAACGCUAGCUACAGGCUUAACCCAUGCACGUCUCGGGGCAGCAUGGGGGUUGCUUGCAUUCCCCGAUGGCGACCGGCGCACGGGUGAGUAACGCGUAUCCAGCCUGCCCUUCACCACGGGAUAACCCGGCGAAAGUCGGACUAAUACCGUAUGUUUUCUAUUGACGGCAUUCGAUUCCGACGAAAGUCUGGCCCCUGAGCGCUGCGAAUGCGUUCUAUUAGCCAGACUCCGGGGUCUCGGCCCUCCGAGGCUACGAUCGGUAGCGGUUAUGAGAGGUAGGUCCCCCACGAUGGAACAGAGACACGGCCCAGACGCCUACGGGAGGCAGCAGUGAGGAAUAUUGGUCAAUGGGCGUAAGCCUGAACCAGCCAAGUAGCGUGCAGGAUGACGGCCCUAUGGGUUGUAAACUGCUUUUAUGCGGGGAUAAAGGGGCAAACGUGUGGGCUUUUGCAGGUACCGCAUGAAUAAGGACCGGCUAAUUCCGUG